UCCGUAGGUGAACCUGCGGAGGGAUCAUUACUGAGUGUAAAAACUCCCAAACCCAUUGUGAACAUACCACUGUUGCUUCGGCGGAUGCGCCCCGGGCGCGCCCUCACAGGCGUGCCCCGGACCAAGGCGCCCGCCGGGGAACCGAAACUCUUGUUUUCUUACAGAAUCUCUGAGUCUGAUUAUAAAUCAAAUCAAAACUUUCAACAACGGAUCUCUUGGCUCUAGCAUCGAUGAAGAACGCAGCGAAAUGCGAUAAGUAAUGCGAAUUGCAGAAUUCAGUGAAUCAUCGAAUCUUUGAACGCACAUUGCGCCCGCCAGUACUCUGGCGGGCAUGCCUGUCUGAGCGUCAUUUCAACCCUCGCCCCCGGCUUCUGUCGGGGACGGUGUUGGGGAUCGGCCUCCCGUCUUCCGGGUGGCCGGCCCCUAAAUUGAGUGGCGACCACGCCGUAACCUCCUCUGCGUAGUAGUUAAACACUCGCGGGCGGAGAGCGGUGCGGCCUGCCGUAAAACCCCCAACUCUUCUAAGGUUGACCUCAGAUCAGGUAGGAAUACCCGGCUGAACUUAAGGCAUAUCAAUAAGGCGGGAGGGGAAGGUCGGAC
rnacentral:rRNA from 1 species